rnacentral:rRNA from 1 species
GACGAACGCUGGCGGCGUGCUUAACACAUGCAAGUCGAACGGAAAGGCCUGCUUUCCCUUGUGGAUUGCGGGUACUCGAGUGGCGAACGGGUGAGUAACACGUGAGUGAUCUGCCCCCAACUUGGGUAUAAGCCUGGGAAACUGGGUCUAAUUCCCGAUAGGACUGCAGGGUGGUGCCUGUGGUGGAAAACGAUUUUCUAGUGGUUGGGGAUGAGCUCGCGGCCUAUCAGCUUGUUGGUGGGGUAAUGGCCUACCAAGGCGGCGACGGGUAGCCGGCCUGAGAUGGUGGACGGCCACAUUGGGACUGAGAUACGGCCCAGACUACUACGGGCGGCAGCCGUGGGGAAUAUUGCACAAUGGGCGGAAGCCUGAUGCAGCGACGCCGCGUGGGGGAUGACGGCCUUCGGGUUGUAAACUCCUUUCGACCGCGAGGAAGCCACCUGGUUGGAAGGGUGGUGACGGUAGUGGUAGAAGAAGCACCGGCUAACUACGUG